UACCAAUGGGUGUCCAUGCACAUGUAAAUACCAAUGGGUGUCCUUGCACAUAUAAAUACCAAUGGGUGUCCCUGCACAGGUAAAUACCAAUGGGUGUCCCUGCACAGGUAAAUACCAAUGGGUGUCCUUGCACAGGUAAAUACCAAUGGGUGUCCAUGCACAGGUAAAUAAAUACCAAUGGGUGUCCCUGCACAGGUAAAUACCAAUGGGUGUCCAUGCACAGGUAAACACCAAUGGGUGUCCCUGCACAGGUAAAUACCAAUGGGUGUCCUUGCACAUGUAAAUACCAAUGGGUGUCCAUGCACAGGUAAACACCAAUGGGUGUCCUUGCACAUGUAAAUACCAAUGGGUGUCCUUGCACAGGUAAAUACCAAUGGGUGUCCAUGCACAUGUAAAUAACUACAAAUGGGUGUCCAUGCACAUGUAAAUACCAAUGGGUGUCCUUGCACAUAUAAAUACCAAUGGGUGUCCUUGCACAGGUAAAUACCAAUGGGUGUCCCUGCACAGGUAAAUAAAUACCAAUGGGUGUCCUUGCACAGGUAAAUACCAAUGGGUGUCCUUGCACAGGUAAAUACCAAUGGGUGUCCCUGCACAGGUAAACACCAAUGGGUGUCCCUGCACAGGUAAAUACCAAUGGGUGUCCCUGCACAGGUAAACACCAAUGGGUGUCCAUGCACAGGUAAAUACCAAUGGGUGUCCCUGCACAGGUAAAUACCAAUGGGUGUCCCUGCACAGGUAAACACCAAUGGGUGUCCCUGCACAUGUAAACACCAAUGGGUGUCCCUGCACAGGUAAAUACCAAUGGAUGUCCACGCACAGCUCUGUGGGACUGACAAGGCUGUCAGGAGCCUUUGGCAUGGAACAGUCUCAGAGCAGGAAUUCCCGACAUUGAACAUUCUAGAAUAAGCAGUAUGCUGAUGCUUUGGGUUAAAUCACAUCUGAUGGAGUCUGAUUUGGAUUUACACUGACAGAGCCAUGGGAGGGUUUGGCUUGGCUGCAGGGUGAUGCCCAGUCCCAGCCUGGCAGCCGGGGGCAGGGCCGGCCCCAGCCGUGUCCAGGCUGAGCUCAGGCAGGGCUGGGGUCCCCGGUGGCCGGGCAGCCUGUACCUGUGCCCCGGCUCCCCGCAGCCGUCCCUCU